rnacentral:rRNA from 1 species
UACGGGGGGGGGUAAGCGUUGUUCGGAAUUACUGGGCGUAAAGGGCUCGUAGGCGGCCAACUAAGUCAGACGUGAAAUCCCUCAGCUUAACUGGGGAACUGCGUCUGAUACUGGAUGGCUUGGAUUCGGGAGAGGAAUGCGGAAUUCCAGGUGUAGCGGUGAAAUGCGUAGAUAUCAGGAGGAACACCGGUGGCGAAGGCGACUCUCUGGUCUGUAACUGACGCUGAGGCGCGAAAGCGUGGGGAGCAAACAGG